AUUAAUUGUUGAAAAUUCGAGUUAUAUUGAUUUGAGAUAUGAAUUUUUGCAAACGUGAUUGUUUGAUGAUUUUGAUGAUACCAUGUUGUAGUACGUGCUUUUCUCGUCGUUUUGGUAUAUUAUAUGUUGAAUUUGGGGUUCGGAAUCAUAUAGAAACAGUGGUUUAAUUCUUGAGUUGAGUGUUCUUGGUGUUCUUGAGGUUCCUCGUCGGAAAACUCAAGCUCUUCGCCGGAAUUUUGAUCCGUUAAGUCUGGGCAGUAGUGGAAUAUAUGAAUAGAAGGAGGAGAGAAAGGGGAGUAUGCUGGUGUGUUUGGUUUGAGCGGAGGUGGCUCGAAUCGCCGCCAUCGGCGGCGGGAAGUCGCCGACUUCGGCCGGAUUUUCCGGCGAAUUCGCGCGACUUCUGCCUAAUUAAAGAUGGGGGAUUGAUUUAUGGGUGUGUGUACUACUGAUCUGGAGUAGAUGGUGAGUGGAGGACGCCUGGAAACGAAAAUCCGGCAAGUUAGUGUGGUGGCCGGCGGCUUAUUGCUGUUUGGUCACCGAAGUUUUAAAGAUGAUGAAGUUUUUGUACUCAGGUUUUGAAACUUAUGAAUUACCCCCUGUAACUUUGAAAAGUUGCACUUUAAACCCUGGACAAAACUUUCAAAAGUUUACAAAAUAAACCUUUUGAUUUAAUUUUCUAAAAUUGUUUUAUUUAAUUAUUUUAAAUUCCAAAAAUAGUUUUUAAUUAUUUGUUUAUUCAAAAAUAAAUCUAAAUUAGUUUAUUAAUUAAUUUUAAUUAGUAAUUAAUUAUUUUAAUUGGUCAAUUAAUUUAAAUAUUAAUUGAUUAAUUAUUUUAAUUAAUUAUUAAUUGAUUUUAAUUGGUUAAUUAAUUGGAUUUAAUUAAUCCUUUUUGAUUUAAAAAUUCCGAAAAAUAGUUUCGAGCUUUAAAAUAUUUUUCCAAAUUAUUUUCAAGGCUCGAUAAUUGUUUAUGAAUGAUUUCAAGUCCAAUUUCAAGUAUUUGGGACUUGAUUAUUCAUCCGAAAAGUGAUUCUUUUAUCGAUUUUAAUUCCGAAAAAUGUUUAAAAAUUCCAGAAAAUUUCCGAAAAAUCAUUUUAAACCCAAGACUUGAUUUAAUAUCAAUUGGGAUGGGAGACCUUAUAUGAAAUAUGUUGUAUGCUAUCUGUUUGAUGUGUUAUGUGGCGAUAGGAGAGUGAGAAAACUGUUUUGAGCAUAACUUUUGAUCCGUAAGUCGGAAUCAAGUGAAACGAAAGAGAGACAGAAGCUUAUAACGUCUAUUUUAAUAUGAUGUGACUAUAUGGCUGAGUCUAUAAGGUGAAUAAUUGUUGAUAAGUAUGCAUAAUGUGAUAAUAUGUGAUCUAAGUGCUAUCAGGUGAUGAUUAUGUGAAGUACGUGUUAGUUUUGAUAUUGUGAAGUGAUAGAUGAUUCGUAUGAUUGAUAUUGGAUAAGAAUAUAUGGAUUAUAGCUAUUGGAUUUUGUUGGUUGAUUAAUGAUUGGGAUAAGAUAAUAGGUGGAUAGUCUUAUACAUAGACGAGACGAUGUCGGAUUUUCGAUAAGGAUUUAUAUGAUAAUUGAUUGGUGAUAUGUUAUGUGGAAUAUGAUUGACUAUAUGUUAGAGUUAAAGCAUGCUUAUGUGUUACGUGGUAUCUGAUAAGUUUAAAGGGAUAUAUAAGUGGGUAUUGAUAUACGUGAGAUGUAUAUGCGAUCGAUUGUUUAGUGAUUAUAGUGUUAUCUUAUUCUCGUAAAAGAUUUGGACGAGACGUGUAUGCCCGAAGACGUUCAGAAAGUCACGUGGUGUUACAAAGCGAAUAAGGGAUGAAUCGAGUAAGCGAAGCGAAGAUGUACGGUAGAUAGAGUAUAGCCAGAGAUGGUCUAGAGACUAUGAGAUGCAUAGAUUGUGAAAGUGGAAAGAUGAGAUUGAAAUGUGAGACUGGAGUCAGAUUUAAGGCAAGUAUCCUGCACCCUGCUUUUGGAUAUAUUGCAUAUUCUGAUCCAUUCUUUUUAUAUGUGUUGCAAGUAUCCUAAACCUUUCUCUUGGAUAUAUUGCAAAUAUUCUGAUCCAUUCCUUUGGUAUAUGUUUCAAGUAUUCAUACCUUUCUUUUCAAUGUUCGAAAGUGCGAGUAUUCUGACCCAUUCUUUCUAAUCUUCAAGUUUCUAAAGAAUUUCCGUUUUACAAAUUAAUUCGAAGUUCAGAUUGUCAUUGAAGCAUGUGUUGCUCAGUGAUAGUUAGAGCUUUGAAUGAAUUGGGAUCUUCUUGAUUAUUCAACCCGCCAUUGUCAUGCUGGUUUAGCAGGCUAAAUUCAGUUGCUUAGCCGAUAAUGGAGGAUACUGAAUAGUUGAGGAUUUCCUGAACUGUGAUUUAUGAAAUGAUGGAUCAUGAUUAUUAUCAAAGUUUGAAUUGGAAUUAUUCUGUUGUUGAUGACAUUUAGAAUGAUGUUCUGUUAAUUUACAUUGGCUUCUUGAAUUGAAUUAGAGAAUUGGAUUAUUGUUUUUAUAUAAACCUGUGGACCAGAUUCGUGGUCAUGUUAGGCCAAUGAGUGCCUUGGAUCCAGUGAUAGAGCAUGGCGGGGCCUGCUCGGGGUUAGUGCGGAACUGAUCAGCUGCCUAACCUUGGUUUUGAUUAAAAUGUGAUAGUCCAAUUCAAUAAUUCUUUGGAAAGAUUGAAUUUCUCAGUUUAAAUGCUGCAAGGUAUUGUAAAUCAUUCUAUACAAUACCAUGAACUCAUGAACUCAGGUUGAAUCCUUUUAUAUCUUGAACUCGUGAAUUUCUGUUAUAUCAUUUCAGAAUUAUCAUUGUUUAUUAUUACUUGCUGAGCAUUGUUGCUCACUCUUGCUAUUCUCUUUUAACCAUUUCAGAAAGGCUUAAAGAUGAGAUGAUUGAUUGAGAUUGUGAGUAAGGCUAAUGCUAGGCGAGGAGACAGAGUUGAGGAUCCAGUGGUCGAGAAGUGUUCAGGAAAGUUGAUAAGGUUGGUGCAAGCUGAAAUAGUUGACAGUGAUUCUUCUUAUCGAAGAUGAUCUGAUUUGGUAAGAGAUGUUGUGUAAUAAUAGCGGUAGAUUCUAAUUUCAAUACUGUAACCUGGAUGCGAUCCUGUUGCUUUUAGGGGGUUUAAAUGUUCUCCUUCGAAUCAUUUAUUAAAGUUUAAAUGUUCUCUUGAAAUUCUUUUAUUAUGGUUUUCAAGUUUGAAAUUCAGGUUUUGAAAUCAUUCGAUUUAUGUUCUCAUUCAAAUCUUAUAUUAAAUGUUUUCAGGUUUUAAAUUCUUUGAUUUCAUUAUCUUUAGAAAAAAAAUACAGGUUUUCAAAGGUGUUUAAAAAUGGGUUUUAUGUGGUGACGUCAGAAUCCAGACCCCCGGAUUCUCGGACUGUCACAGUUGGUAUCAGAGCAACAGGUUACAAGUUAUUGGAAUUUGAAUAUAGAUUAUAGUUUUAAGUUUUAUAUAGGAUAGACGUUGUGUGACCUCAUAUCGAGGUAUUGUGAGACUAUUUGGACAUAGUCUAGAGAUGUGAGUGAAGCAUAGAGUCUAGUUAGAUGAUCAAGUUAAGUGUGGAUAUUUAAAGAGAUUGGGAUUCUUAAGUUUAGACAUAUGAUUCCUAGUAUAUUGACUAAUCGAGAUGGUAUUAUAGUGAGAAGUGUCCAGAUUAGACCUGGAUAGAAGAGUUUGAUAGUGAAUGAUUGAGUUAAGAAUGGUGAAAAUGCAGAGUUCAGAGUAUUCUGACUAUACUGCAUAUUUGAAAUUGGAUUAUUGUAUUGAUUUGAGGAUGAUAUAAAUGCAUGGUUCAUAGUAUGUUGACCAUGUCAGAUAUUUGGAAGAUGUAUAUUGUUUUGAGUGAAGAUAUGAAGAGUAAGUGUAGAGUAUGAGUUGUAUGGGAUUAGAAGGAGAGAUUGGUAGAUAGAGGUUGAUAGGUGAGAAGUGAAUGAUAGAGAGUACGUGGAAUUGAGUCCAGUUAUUAGAGAUGAUGUCUACGAGUAAGUUAGAACGUUAGUCCUCGACGACGACGCUUCAAGCUAAUCGGGACUUCAAACGAUAUCAAGGUGGGCCCAUAACCCACAGGUUAGCGAUCCAUACAAUCGAUGAUAUGCUACGUGUUUUGCUAGUGACUUCACAGAUAAUGGGGAUGAAGUGGAGGUCAUGACUUAUUACGAGCGAUAACGUCUACUAUGAAUUUUACGAGGUUGCUACGAACGAACGUCAAUCGACUAUCGAGAACGUUGAAAGGAUGACAUAAAUCGAAUAGCGAUUUCGUAAAGUAGAGUGGGAAUUUGAGAAGACCUUGGCAAUACCUCUCUUCAACUAAAGAUUCUUUUGAUUAUGUUCUUCAUCAGUGAGUUAUUAUGAUAUCAUUUCAAUAAAUGAGAUUUUCAAUUUUUCACAUUCUAAGAUGAUAAUGAUAUUGAUUAUUGGUGUGAGUUGGUAUUGAAUCGGUGUAUGAUAAAGGCGUGUUUAUGAAGAAACAGUGGAAUUCCUUGAUAUUAUUUGAUAUUCUUUGAUAUUCCUUGACGUUCUUUGAUAUUUUUGAUAUACGUUGAUAUUCGUUGAUAUUCUUUGACACUUUUUGAUAUUCCUUGAUAUCUUUUCGAUAUUCCUUAAUAUAUUUCUCAAUAAACCUUAACGUUCCUUGAUGCUCCUUGAGAUUUCUUGGAUUCUUUCUAUCUGAUUGGGAUGAACAACCCUAUGUAUAGGGGACACAAGGUAUACCUGUCUGUGUGAUAGGAGUUGGAUGGGACGCCAUCACUUGUGUGUGUUGUGAUUACAAGAAGGUUAAAAACCUUUAGUAGUGUCUAAUAUGGACACGCAACAUGAAGUUCAAUUGAUCGUAUUGAUCUCCCAGUCACUCUUGUAUUCCAAUGUGACCUAUUUUGAAAACAUCUUGUUCCCCCAAAUUUUCCCAAACAGUGAUUCUUGGGAAAUGAAGUUUGCAAUUGCGAAGGCUUUGAUUCUCCUAUUUCUUUAACUUUGAAGGUAUGCCAAGGUUGAUUAAGGGCGGAUGAGCAUGUGAUAUUAUGAAGCGUGUACAAUGAUUUUACAAAUGAUACGUUUUAGUUUUCUUCGCGGAUUCCGAGGGCGGAAUCCUUAUAAGGGGGGUAGAAUGUAAUAUCCCAUACUAUUAAAUUUAGAUUUGAUUAUUAUAAAUCUAUUUGUCUAAAUAUUAUUGUUGGCUUUAGUUGAAAAGUGAAUUGAUUAUGUGAAUAGUUUUAUAUGAUGAUACUUGUUCUGUGGAUUAAUAUGGAUUAUACUAAUUAUGCGUUCUCCUUCUUUCUCUGAUUCCGAGGACGGAAUCCCUAUAAGGAGGGUAGAUUGUAAUAACCCGGAUUUUAAAAAUAUUUUUGUUAAUAUUAUAAAUGAUUUUCUUAAAAAGAAAGGAAUAAGAUUUAAUAUUUUAUUCCAGUUUAAUGAGUUUUCAAAGUUUUAUAUUUAAACCCCGGGUUAUUGUGUUAUUGAUAAAUAAUUGUAUUUUCAAAACUGAUUUUCAUAUAUUGUUUUGAAAAUUCUGUAUGAAUAUUAUGUGAAUAUAUGUGUUAUGUGAUUAAGUGGUAUUGGUGAAUUUGUUUGUUAAUUAGUUAUGAUUAAUUAUUAAUAUGAUAUGAUUAAUAUAUGAAUUUUUGUGAAUUUUGUGUUAUCUAGUUUAUUGACCUGAAUGCUCAUAUGUGUUCGUAUUCGCGAGAUUUCAAUUUCUAUAUGCUCAUGAGAAAAUAUAGUUUAUUUGGAUAUUUUCAUAUCGAUUUAUGGAAUGUUAUAUGAUUUUAUAAUCGAUUUACGGAUUUAAUUGUGUAUAUUUAUAUUUAUUUAUUAAUUAUUUGACUUCCGUAAAACCGUCCACUCGUAACGAGGUAGCAAAUUUUCUUUCCGGAAGUUUCAACAAAACUAACCUUUAGCCUAAUUUGAAUAUUCCGGACAUUUUUCGUGUUUUGACUUUUUCGAUCCGGAGUACGGUUUUCCCCGGAGUCGGUCCGGCGGAGUUUUUCGGGUAUUUUAAUUGUUGAUAAUUAUCUUGUUGUCUCGAUAAACGUGAAACUAGAUAUUUUGAUUCAUCCUUAUCUUGUAAUAAUUGCAGUGGGACCCGCAUACUAAUGACUGAUUAAAAAGCCCCGUUUUGAUGAUUAUCUUGAAAACCAGUACCGAUUGGACCCCGCUUUAUUAAUAUAAAGCUAUUAAAUACGUAUUUUCAUGUCAUAUACGAUCCAAAGGGGUACCAAUUAUUUGUAAAUAUAAAUAGACCUUUCUAGAGUUUAUUUUCACCCGUAAAAUCAUUUCACCAGUUUCUCUGCACGAAUACCGAGAGAAACCGAGCAGUGUUCUUCGUGUUCUUCAUAAUCAAACGAAGAUUUGAAGGUGUUAUUGGAAUCCGAUGGAGGUGUAUGAAUAGUCAAAACGAAGCUAUCGACGUGUAGAUUAUAGUUUAAUCCUUCGUUUGUGUGCAGAUUCAACAGAUUUGGACGAGACGUGUAUGCCCGAAGACGUUCAGAAAGUCACGUGGUGUUACAAAGCGAAUAAGGGAUGAAUCGAGUAAGCGAAGCGAAGAUGUACGGUAGAUAGAGUAUAGCCAGAGAUGGUCUAGAGACUAUGAGAUGCAUAGAUUGUGAAAGUGGAAAGAUGAGAUUGAAAUGUGAGACUGGAGUCAGAUUUAAGGCAAGUAUCCUGCACCCUGCUUUUGGAUAUAUUGCAUAUUCUGAUCCAUUCUUUUUAUAUGUGUUGCAAGUAUCCUAAACCUUUCUCUUGGAUAUAUUGCAAAUAUUCUGAUCCAUUCCUUUGGUAUAUGUUUCAAGUAUUCAUACCUUUCUUUUCAAUGUUCGAAAGUGCGAGUAUUCUGACCCAUUCUUUCUAAUCUUCAAGUUUCUAAAGAAUUUCCGUUUUACAAAUUAAUUCGAAGUUCAGAUUGUCAUUGAAGCAUGUGUUGCUCAGUGAUAGUUAGAGCUUUGAAUGAAUUGGGAUCUUCUUGAUUAUUCAACCCGCCAUUGUCAUGCUGGUUUAGCAGGCUAAAUUCAGUUGCUUAGCCGAUAAUGGAGGAUACUGAAUAGUUGAGGAUUUCCUGAACUGUGAUUUAUGAAAUGAUGGAUCAUGAUUAUUAUCAAAGUUUGAAUUGGAAUUAUUCUGUUGUUGAUGACAUUUAGAAUGAUGUUCUGUUAAUUUACAUUGGCUUCUUGAAUUGAAUUAGAGAAUUGGAUUAUUGUUUUUAUAUAAACCUGUGGACCAGAUUCGUGGUCAUGUUAGGCCAAUGAGUGCCUUGGAUCCAGUGAUAGAGCAUGGCGGGGCCUGCUCGGGGUUAGUGCGGAACUGAUCAGCUGCCUAACCUUGGUUUUGAUUAAAAUGUGAUAGUCCAAUUCAAUAAUUCUUUGGAAAGAUUGAAUUUCUCAGUUUAAAUGCUGCAAGGUAUUGUAAAUCAUUCUAUACAAUACCAUGAACUCAUGAACUCAGGUUGAAUCCUUUUAUAUCUUGAACUCGUGAAUUUCUGUUAUAUCAUUUCAGAAUUAUCAUUGUUUAUUAUUACUUGCUGAGCAUUGUUGCUCACUCUUGCUAUUCUCUUUUAACCAUUUCAGAAAGGCUUAAAGAUGAGAUGAUUGAUUGAGAUUGUGAGUAAGGCUAAUGCUAGGCGAGGAGACAGAGUUGAGGAUCCAGUGGUCGAGAAGUGUUCAGGAAAGUUGAUAAGGUUGGUGCAAGCUGAAAUAGUUGACAGUGAUUCUUCUUAUCGAAGAUGAUCUGAUUUGGUAAGAGAUGUUGUGUAAUAAUAGCGGUAGAUUCUAAUUUCAAUACUGUAACCUGGAUGCGAUCCUGUUGCUUUUAGGGGGUUUAAAUGUUCUCCUUCGAAUCAUUUAUUAAAGUUUAAAUGUUCUCUUGAAAUUCUUUUAUUAUGGUUUUCAAGUUUGAAAUUCAGGUUUUGAAA